GACGAACGCUGGCGGCGUGCUUAACACAUGCAAGUCGAACGGAAAGGCCCUGCUUUUGUGGGGUGCUCGAGUGGCGAACGGGUGAGUAACACGUGAGUAACCUGCCCUUGACUUUGGGAUAACUUCAGGAAACUGGGGCUAAUACCGGAUAGGAGCUCCUGCUGCAUGGUGGGGGUUGGAAAGUUUCGGCGGUUGGGGAUGGACUCGCGGCUUAUCAGCUUGUUGGUGGGGUAGUGGCUUACCAAGGCUUUGACGGGUAGCCGGCCUGAGGGGGUGACCGGCCACAUUGGGACUGAGAUACGGCCCAGACUCCUACGGGAGGCAGCGGUGGAGAAUAUUGCACAAUGGGCGGAAGCCUGAUGCAGCAACGCCGCGUGCGGGAUGACGGCCUUCGGGUUGUAAACCGCUUUCGCCUGUGACGAGGCGUGGGUGACGGUAAUGGGUAAAGAAGCAACGGCUAACUACGUG
rnacentral:rRNA from 1 species